rnacentral:rRNA from 1 species
AACGAACGCUGGCGGCAUGCCUAACACAUGCAAGUCGAACGAGACCUUCGGGUCUAGUGGCGCACGGGUGCGUAACGCGUGGAAACCUGCCCUUAGGUUCGGAAUAACUCCCCGAAAGGGGUGCUAAUACCGGACAAUGUCUUCGGCCCAAAGAUUUAUCGCCUUUGGAGGGGCCCGCGUUGGAUUAGCUAGUUGGUAGGGUAAAAGCCUACCAAGGCGACGAUCCAUAGCUGGUCUGAGAGGAUGAUCAGCCACACUGGGACUGGGACACGGCCCAGACUCCUACGGGAAGCAGCAGUGGGGAAUAUUGGACAAUGGGCGAAAGCCUGAUCCAGCAAUGCCGCGUGAGUGAUGAAGGCCUUAGGGUUGUAAAGCUCUUUUACCCGGGAUGAUAAUGACAGUACCGGGAGAAUAAGCUCCGGCUAACUCCGUG